UACGUAGGGCGCAAGCGUUAUCCGGAAUUAUUGGGCGUAAAGAGCUCGUAGGCGGUUUGUCGCGUCUGCCGUGAAAGCCCGGGGCUUAACCCCGGGUCUGCAGUGGAUACGGGCAGGCUAGAGGCAGGUAGGGGAGACUGGAAUUCCUGGUGUAGCGGUGGAAUGCGCAGAUAUCAGGAGGAACACCGGUGGCGAAGGCGGGUCUCUGGGCAGUAACUGACGCUGAGGAGCGAAAGCGUGGGGAGCGAACAGG
rnacentral:rRNA from 1 species